rnacentral:rRNA from 1 species
CGGCACGCCUAACACAUGCAAGUCGAACGAAGUAGCAAUACUUAGUGGCAGACGGGUGAGUAACAUGUAGGUAUCUGCCCUUUGGCCUGGAAUAACACGAGGAAACUUGUGCUAAUACCGGAUAAGUCUUUACGGAGAAAGCUUUAUGCACCAUUGGAUGAGCCUGCACUUGAUUAGUUUGUUGGUGGGGUAAUGGCCUACCAAGACUGUGAUCAAUAGCUGAUUUGAGAGGAUGAUCAGCCACAUUGGGACUGAGACACGGCCCAAACUCCUACGGGAGGCAGCAGUGGGGAAUCUUGCACAAUGGAGGAAACUCUGAUGCAGCGAUGCCGCGUGAGUGAAGAAGGCCUUUGGGUUGUAAAGCUCUUUCGUCGGGGAAGAAAAUGACUGUACCCGAAUAAGAAGGUCCGGCUAACUUCGUGCCAGCAGCCGCGGUAAUACGAAGGGACCUAGCGUAGUUCGGAAUUACUGGGCUUAAAGAGUUCGUAGGUGGUUGAAAAAGUUGGUGGUGAAAUCCCAGAGCUUAACUCUGGAACUGCCAUCAAAACUUUUCAGCUAGAGUAUGAUAGAGGAAAGCAGAAUUUCUAGUGUAGAGGUGAAAUUCGUAGAUAUUAGAAAGAAUACCAAUUGCGAAGGCAGCUUUCUGGAUCAUUACUGACACUGAGGAACGAAAGCAUGGGUAGCGAAGAGGAUUAGAUACCCUCGUAGUCCAUGCCGUAAACGAUGUGUGUUAGACGUUGGAAAUUUAUUUUCAGUGUCGCAGCGAAAGCGAUAAACACACCGCCUGGGGAGUACGA